AACAAGGUUUCCGUAGGUGAACCUGCGGAAGGAUCAUUACUGAACUAGUAAUCCUGAAAGGUCGUGGCCGGGAGCCCUAAAAAGCUCCCGGCGGCCCUCUCUCACCCUUGUGUAUCUACCACGUUGCUUUGGCGGGCCGACCCGGGCUUCGACCCAGGCGGCCGGCGCCCCCAGCCCCCUAGGGGGCCAGGACGCUAGGCUAAGUGCCCGCCAGUAAACAAAACUCCAGCGAUUAUUUCGUGCAGUCCUGAUAAAUCAUUUAAUGAAUUAAAACUUUCAACAACGGAUCUCUUGGUUCUGGCAUCGAUGAAGAACGCAGCGAAAUGCGAUAAGUAAUGUGAAUUGCAGAAUUCAGUGAAUCAUCGAAUCUUUGAACGCACAUUGCGCCCUCUGGCAUUCCGGAGGGCAUGCCUGUUCGAGCGUCAUUUACACACUCAAGCUCUGCUUGGUAUUGGGCAUCGUCGGCCUUCUGACGUGCCCCGAAGACCUCGGCGACGGCGUCCCAGCCUCGAGUGUAGUAGCAAUAUCUCGCUUUGGAGGAUGGGGCGACGGCCGCCGGACAACAUCGACCUUGGGUCUUAUUCUAAGG
rnacentral:rRNA from 1 species